UACGAAGGGGGCGAGCGUUGUUCGGAUUUACUGGGCGUAAAGGGCGCGCAGGCGGCUCAUUUUGUCAGGCGUGAAAGCCCCGGGCUUAACCUGGGAACUGCGUUUGAUACGGAUGGGCUAGAGUUCGGGAGAGGAGAGUGGAAUUCCCAGUGUAGAGGUGAAAUUCGUAGAUAUUGGGAAGAACACCGGUGGCGAAGGCGGCUCUCUGGACCGAUACUGACGCUGAGGCGCGACAGCGUGGGGAUCAAACAGG
rnacentral:rRNA from 1 species